rnacentral:rRNA from 1 species
GACGAACGCUGGCGGCGUGCCUAAUACAUGCAAGUAGAACGCUGAAGAGAGGAGCUUGCUCUUCUUGGAUGAGUUGCGAACGGGUGAGUAACGCGUAGGUAACCUGCCUUGUAGCGGGGGAUAACUAUUGGAAACGAUAGCUAAUACCGCAUAACAAUGGAUGACACAUGUCAUUUAUUUGAAAGGGGCAAUUGUUCCACUACAAGAUGGACCUGCGUUGUAUUAGCUAGUAGGUGAGGUAAUGGCUCACCUAGGCGACGAUACAUAGCCGACCUGGGAGGGUGAUCGGCCACACUGGGACUGAGACACGGCCCAGACGCCUACGGGAGGCAGCAGUAGGGAAUCUUCGGCAAUGGGGGCAACCCUGACCGAGCAACGCCGCGUGAGUGAAGAAGGUUGUCGGAUCGUAAAGCUCUGUUGUAAGUCAAGAACGGGUGUGAGAGUGGAAAGUUCACACUGUGACGGUAGCUUACCAGAAAGGGACGGCUAACUACGUG